GAUGAAACGCUGGCGGCGUGCCUAAUACAUGCAAGUCGAGCGAACGGACGAGAAGCUUGCUUCUCUGAUGUUAGCGGCGGACGGGUGAGUAACACGUGGAUAACCUACCUAUAAGACUGGGAUAACUUCGGGAAACCGGAGCUAAUACCGGAUAAUAUUUUGAACCGCAUGGUUCAAAAGUGAAAGACGGUCUUGCUGUCACUUAUAGAUGGAUCCGCGCUGCAUUAGCUAGUUGGUAAGGUAACGGCUUACCAAGGCAACGAUGCAUAGCCGACCUGAGAGGGUGAUCGGCCACACUGGAACUGAGACACGGUCCAGACUCCUACGGGAGGCAGCAGUAGGGAAUCUUCCGCAAUGGGCGAAAGCCUGACGGAGCAACGCCGCGUGAGUGAUGAAGGUCUUCGGAUCGUAAAACUCUGUUAUUAGGGAAGAACAUAUGUGUAAGUAACUGUGCACAUCUUGACGGUACCUAAUCAGAAAGCCACGGCUAACUACGUG
rnacentral:rRNA from 1 species